GACGAACGCUGGCGGCGUGCUUAACACAUGCAAGUCGAACGCUGAAGCUUGGUGCUUGCACUGGGUGGAUGAGUGGCGAACGGGUGAGUAAUAAGUGAGUAACCUGCCCUUGACUCUGGGAUAAGCCUGGGAAACUGGGUCUAAUACUGGAUACGACAUGUCACCGCAUGGUGGUGUGUGGAAAGGGUUUUACUGGUUUUGGAUGGGCUCACGGCCUAUCAGCUUGUUGGUGGGGUAAUGGCUCACCAAGGCGACGAUGGGUAGCCGGCCUGAGAGGGUGACCGGCCACACUGGGACUGAGACACGGCCCAGACUCCUACGGGAGGCAGCAGUGGGGAAUAUUGCACAAUGGGCGGAAGCCUGAUGCAGCGACGCCGCGUGAGGGAUGACGGCCUUCGGGUUGUAAACCUCUUUCAGCACGGAAGAAGCGAAAGUGACGGUACGUGCAGAAGAAGCGCCGGCUAACUACGUG
rnacentral:rRNA from 1 species